UUUGUUUCGACUUGCAUGCAGACGACCCGUGAACAUGUAACCACAACGGGGUGACCGUGAUAAGGGCCUCGGUCCUUAUCCCCUAACCCUUCCCGACGUGAGUUCGUGGUGUCUUUUUUGGGGCAUCAUGGAUUCCGUUGGACCAUAACAAAACCCCGGCACGGUAUGUGCCAAGGAAAACAAAAAUGAGAAGGACACUACCUGUUUCGCCCCGUUUGCGGUGUGCGUACAGGUCGUGGCCUCCUUGGAAUCACAAACGACUCUCGGCAACGGAUAUCUCGGCUCACGCAUCGAUGAAGAACGUAGCAAAAUGCGAUACUUGGUGUGAAUUGCAGAAUCCCGUGAACCAUCGAGUUUUUGAACGCAAGUUGCGCCCGAAGCCAUCCGGCUGAGGGCACGCCUGCCUGGGCGUCACGCAUCGCGUCGCUCCCCACCAUACCUCCCCAACGGGUUGGCAUGGUGUUGGGGGCGGAUAAUGGCCUCCCGUGCUUGUGUUUCGGUUGGCCUAAAUAAGAGUUCCCUUCGGCGGACACACGACUAGUGGUGGUUGAAUAGACCCUCGUCUUUUGUUGCGUGUCGUGAGCUGUAAGGGUAGCCCUCAUCAAAGACCCCAUUGUAUCGUCUUCGGAUGAUGCUUCGACCGCGACCCCAGGUCAGGCGGGACUACCCGCUGAGUUUAAGCAUAUCAAAA
rnacentral:rRNA from 1 species